rnacentral:lncRNA from 1 species
AUGAUAUGUUAUACUCACAUAAAUAAAAUAACCUUUUAGCCUUUCUAUCAGAGAAACUUCCUUUUUGUAGUGGGCAGUGGUUAAUACUGACUUACAAUUGGUCAAAGUGCAGAGAAUAAGGGGCUCUGGAGCUCUCAUCCCUGAAACAUUUAACACACACACAAGAACAUGCACACAAGAACAUGCAUACAAGCACACACACACACACACACACACACACACACACACACACACACCACAUGACUCAGCAGACAACAUGGUGAAGAAAGGGGUGGAAAGACUGUUAGAGUGGGGAGGUCUGCAGCAAAGCGGUGUCUGUGGACCUGACAGAGACUGUCACACUAUGUCAUCAGGGUGUCUGUGGUUGCCUGAGAAAGACCUGACUCUGCUCCUUGCUGCCUUCUUCCUUGAGAAUUUGAAAUCCAUCUGGCUACUGGCUUACUUGCACUUAAGGAUGCAUAGCAUAUUUUGGAAACGCUGGGAAUAUGAUAGUUUUUAAACCUAGGGGAGUCUCUCUGGGUGUCCAUGUUGAGUUUGCCCUGCAUAUUGGAUUUCUGGAUUUCCAAUAACUGAUAUUCUAAAGCUGAGUUCUUCGAUGUUAAGUCUUUAAACUCCUUCAUAAACAUCUCCUUGACUUUUUCCAUCUCAUCAACCAGUUUCUGCUUUUCUUCCUCCUCCCAUCUAACAACUAACUUCUGAAAGUCCUCCUCAUUUAUUUUCUGCAUUUCAUAGUCUUUAGAGAAUCGGACUUGGUGGGUGUGCUGCGCCGACUCCAGCUGGGUCUUGGUGAACUGCAGCUGCUCCUUCAACAUGUUGAUCUCCUCCUGGAGCUUGUGGUUCUGUGCUUUUGCAUUUCUCGCGAGACAAGAAUCUGCAGCGUGGCGGCGAUGGAGGUGGCUCUGUAGAAAAGCUUGGUUCAUGAAGGCUUUGUCACAAAAGCGGCACUGGUAAUGGCUGGCUUGGGCCUGGCCCAUCAUCAGCUGCUGGGCAGACACCAUCUUUUUCCUGCGUCUACACUCCUGCUUGAGCAGUCUAAUAUCCUCAGCCUGCUUGGUGAGCAGCUGUUUGUUCUGCUCACAGCCACUCAUACUCAAGUGUAACCGCUCCUCUACCACGCUCAGCUGUGAGGUGAGGAACUCUUGACAAUGCACCAGGUACUCAAUGGUGAGCUGUGUCAGGCGGAUGAGCUUCAACAGCAGUGGGUCCAUCUCGGACUGGCAGUACGGGCACUUCUCAUUCUCCAGUUUGCAGAAGGUGAUGUUCAUGAUGUUCUCCUGAAGUGUCAGGACAUCCAUAGUUCCCACCACCUUGUCCACAUCAAUGGCGCCCAGCCUCCUCCAGUCAAUGUUCUCCAGGCGAGGUCGGAAUUGGAAGAAAGGCAGGGGUCCAGAGGCCGAGUUGGCAGUGACACGGGUCCUGGGGACUGCACCUCUCUCUGGGGCGUCACGUCUCUUCUGGCUGUUGGACUGAGGGUAGCAGCUGUGUUUCUGGAAGGACAUUCUUGAAAGCCAACCUGCUGCCUAUACUGGAGGAAUAGGGUGGUCUUUCUUACCUGACCAGGCCACCUGGAGUCCCACGACACCACACCUAGAGUGAGCGAGUGGACCUCUGAUGCAGUGGUUGCAGUCUAUACCCUUGCCGGGCUGGGAUGUUGCCAUGGCAACAUGUAGCUUCAUCCUGGAGCUUAAGGCCUGUCUGCUCUGGGGCAUUCAGACUGCACUAAGAGGGCCUUACAAACACAGAGAUCUGCAAUCGGACGAACUUGAAAAUGUUACAGCAACUUGCAAACCACGUGACUCUCAUGUUGGGAGUCUUUAUGGUGGUGCUAGUGUCAGUUGCCAGUGGUUUCCAUAGAGAUCAACCAGACUCAAGGAUCAUGGAUAUAUUGAGAAGAAGAGACAGAAAGAACGUAAGAGCCAGAAGUGAUGGAGGACUCCAUGGAAACAGCAUCUUCCAGACACAAGCCUGGUCCAUAAAUUGACUCACAGAAACUGUGGCAGCAUGCAUGAGACCUGCAAAGAAGAGGAAGUGGACACCAAGUCCCACCCCUAGCCAAGAGGAUAUCUGCAGUUGAUACUUGCUGGGAGAGGGAAUGAUUGAUUUUCUCUAAUGAAGUGACACACUCACUGUGACCAAGCCUCAUGCCCAGGAGGACUUUAUCAACCCAAAACAGACUCUCUGUUUUUCUGUGUGUGCUUUUCUUCUGUUAUUGUUUAGUGUUUUUUGUCUUCCUGAUUUUGUCUUGUCUUAUUUUUCUGUUUUUUUGGUUUUUUGAGGUUUUUGAGAGAGAAAGAAUAUGAAGUUGGGUGGAUAUGGAGGUGGGGAGAAUUUUCGAAGACUUGGGGUGAGGAGGGAGAAGAUGCAUGAUCAAAAUUCAUUGUAUGGAAAAAAUUUUUAAAAGGAACAUUAUAUAAACAAAUAAAAUGUAAAGACCAACAUGAUAUACAGGGCUGAGGAGAUGGCUCAAUCAGCAAAGUUUCUGCUGUGCAAGCCUGUUGCCCUACAUUUUAUCCCCAGCACCCAUAUAAAAGCCAGAGAUAUUGAGGGAAGAGUGGCAAAUAUGAUUAAAAUCUGUGGAGAGCCGUGAGCAAUCGCCAUCAUGAGCCUCCGCUGUGCCUAACUGGUAAACUAGUAAUGUGCACAGGUGCAAGAGUAAAUUCGUGCCAAGUCACUGCCCAUCCCGGGACAUAGUAGUGGGGUGAUGAGUGAGCAGCUAAUCGGUAGCUGACACGUCACACGGAGGGAUA